rnacentral:rRNA from 1 species
CACGUAGUUAGCCGUGGCUUAUUCGACAGGUACCGUCUUCUGCCCUUCCCUGUCAAAAGAAGUUUACAACCCGAAAGCCUUCUUCCUUCACGCGGCGUUGCUGGGUCAGGCUUGCGCCCAUUGCCCAAUAUUCCCCACUGCUGCCUCCCGUAGGAGUCUGGGCCGUAUCUCAGUCCCAAUGUGGCCGGCCAACCUCUCAGUCCGGCUACUGAUCGUCGCCUUGGUAGGCCGUUACCCUACCAACUAGCUAAUCAGACGCGAGGCCAUCUCUCAGCGAUAAAUCUUUGGUACCAGUACCAUGCGAUACCCGUACGUUAUGCGGUAUUAGCAGUCGUUUCCAACUGUUGUCCCCCUCUGAAAGGCAGGUUCCUCACGCGUUACUCACCCGUCCGCCACUAAGUAGUCCUCUCCAUUGACCGAAAUCUCUUUCGAGGGUACUCCGUUCGACUUGCAUGUGUUAAGCACGCCGCCAGCGUUCGUCCUGAGCCAGGAUCAAACUCU